UACUUAGUGGCAGACGGGUGAGUAACAUGUGGGUAUCUACCCUUUGGCCUGGAAUAACACGAGGAAACUUGUGCUAAUACCGGAUAAGUCUUUACGGAGAAAGCUUUAUGCACCAUUGGAUGAGCCUGCACUUGAUUAGUUUGUUGGUAGGGUAAUGGCCUACCAAGACUGUGAUCAAUAGCUGAUUUGAGAGGAUGAUCAGCCACAUUGGGACUGAGACACGGCCCAAACUCCUACGGGAGGCAGCAGUGGGGAAUCUUGCACAAUGGAGGAAACUCUGAUGCAGCGAUGCCGCGUGAGUGAAGAAGGCCCUUGGGUUGUAAAGCUCUUUCGUCGGGGAAGAAAAUGACUGUACCCGAAUAAGAAGGUCCGGCUAACUUCGUGCCAGCAGCCGCGGUAAUACGAAGGGACCUAGCGUAGUUCGGAAUUACUGGGCUUAAAGAGUUCGUAGGUGGUUGAAAAAGUUGGUGGUGAAAUCCCAGAGCUUAACUCUGGAACUGCCAUCAAAACUUUUCAGCUAGAGUAUGAUAGAGGAAAGCAGAAUUUCUAGUGUAGAGGUGAAAUUCGUAGAUAUUAGAAAGAAUACCAAUUGCGAAGGCAGCUUUCUGGAUCAUUACUGACACUGAGGAACGAAAGCAUGGGUAGCGAAGAGGAUUAGAUACCCUCGUAGUCCAUGCCGUAAACGAUGUGUGUUAGACG
rnacentral:rRNA from 1 species